rnacentral:rRNA from 1 species
AGAGUUUGAUCAUGGCUCAGAACAAACGCUGGCGGCGUGCCUAAUACAUGCAAGUCGAACGAGGAAGUCCCUUCGGGGAUUGUACUAGUGGCGCACGGGUGAGGAACGCGUGGAUAAUCUUCCUUAAGGUGGGGAAUAACCAGUCGAAAGACUGGCUAAUACCGCAUAAGACCACAAGGGCUUAGGCCCAAGGGGUUAAAGGCGUAAGCCGCCUUAAGAUGAGUCUGCGCCCGAUUAGCUAGUUGGUGAGGUAAUGGCUCACCAAGGCGACGAUCGGUAGGUGGUCUGAGAGGACGGCCACCCACACUGGGACUGAGACACGGCCCAGACUCCUACGGGAGGCAGCAGUAGGGAAUAUUGCACAAUGGAGGAAACUCUGAUGCAGCGACGCCGCGUGAGUGACGAAGGCCUUCGGGUCGUAAAGCUCUGUUCUCAGGGAAAAAGAAAGUGAUUGUACCUGAGAAGAAAGGACCGGCUAACUUCGUGCCAGCAGCCGCGGUAAGACGAGGGGUCCAAGCGUUGUUCGGAAUUAUUGGGCGUAAAGCGGGUGUAGGUGGAUCUAUAAGUCAGGAGUGAAAGCCCCGAGCUCAACUUGGGAAGUGCUUUUGAUACUGCAGAUCUUGAAUGUGGGAGAGGAUCGUGGAAUUCCAGGUGUAGUGGUGAAAUACGUAGAUAUCUGGAGGAACACCGGUGGCGAAGGCGGCGAUCUGGCCCAACAUUGACACUGAGACCCGAAAGCGUGGGGAUCAAACAGGAUUAGAUACCCUAGUAGUCC